CGUCUUAGGAUGCCAAAAGAACGGUUCAAAUCACCCUCAUUUGCCCAUCGUUCUCUCUCUAGAAAAUCUGAAGAAAAAGAAAAACAAUCUCGCCAUUAUCUGCUCAGUUGGGCACCCAUCUCCAUACAAACCUUCCAUUUUAUUUUUCAGCCCCCUCUCUCUAAAAUCAUGGCUCUCAGAAACGCAAAAUCCUUCUGUCUCUUAGAAAUUCAGCCACCUCCUCUCUCGGAUCUCUGCCCUCGCAGCCCUUUCAUGUCUCAAAUCUUCUCUGCCUGCAACUGAACAACGUACCUCCCCCUUUGUUGACUAGCCCAUCCGUGGUAGAAAAUCGGAAAAACUGACAGCCAAAGCUGUUUGAGGACCCCCAAUAAUUUCAAAUCCGAGACAACAACACAAGAACAACACCCUGAAUCUCCAUCUCAUCUCAACAAAAUCAUGUCUCCCAAGCCUCAAGCCAUCACAGAUUCGAGUGACAGUCUUGUAGAUCGAGACCACUGCACACAUGCAACGGUGUCCGAGAUGCACCAAGAGACUGAAGAGACAACCUUGAAGAGCUCCCAAACUCACGGAUCUGCAAAUUGUUAGCGUACAACCGAGAGACAACAACCUGGAGCUUCCGGUCUAGUGGUUACGGAAGGCAGCAUAAAUGACAAAUGUCUCGGCCUCUGCAAAUAAGUAAGAGGUAUACGGAUCCAUGAUAGAGCCAAGGACACAGAAGUAAACACACAAGAGCAACAGAGGAAAACAGCACUGGCCGCAUGACCCAGAUCGAUGCAUCUGGGAGGUAAAAUUCGAAUCCCUGCAAGUGUAGUUGUUGUAGAUCUGGUAAUAAUAUCUGUACUCAGUUCUGUGGUGUAUGGAUCUGUGAUUUAAUUGUGCUUCCUCCAUGCAUUGCAAAACUGAGCUGCAGAAAUUAACUGCUCUAAAGUUCGUUUAUGUGCUGGAUCUGCAACAAUCACCCCCAAACUUGCAUCUGUGAAUGGCUUUUAUAUGUUGACUGCUUUAAAUUUCCAGCAUAGUGUAGAUGUGGUUGAUGUGAACGUUAGACUUGCUGCUGGGUGCAGGAUUCCAGCAUAGGACGCGCUUUAUUUUCCACGUUCGCAACCUGCAAUUAACCAAUAUGCGUCAAAAAA